UUAUUUUCUUUAUAAAAAAGUGUUACAUUCGAUAACUUUGUAGAGUCUAAUAAAAAAAGGUAUUACAGUGCACUAGGGUGAAUGGUAGAAAAUGUUGAGCCACAAUUAAGUGCACUCUUUAAAUUCUUUAAUGAUCCUUCCGCAGGUUCACCUACGGAAA
rnacentral:misc_RNA from 1 species